CCUACGGGAGGCUGCAGUGGGGAAUAUUGGGCAAUGGAGGCAACUCUGACCCAGCAACGCCGCGUGAAUGAUGAAGGUCUUCGGAUUGUAAAGUUCUGUGAUGGGGGAUGAACACAAUGACGGUACCCCAAUAGCAAGCCACGGCUAACUACGUGCCAGCAGCCGCGGUAAUACGUAGGUGGCAAGCGUUAUCCGGAAUGACUGGGCGUAAAGGGUGCGUAGGUGGUUUAGUAAGUUGGCGGUGUAAUUCCGGGGCUCAAACUCGGCGCUACCGCCAAAACUAUUAGACUAGAGUGCAGGGGGGGUAAGUGGAAUGCGUGGUGUAGCGGUGGAAUGCGUAGAUAUUAGGAGGAACAUCGGGGGCGAAGGCGACUUACUGGACUGUAACUGACACUGAGGCACGAAAGCGUGGGGAGCAAACAGGAUUAGAUACCCGAGUAGUC
rnacentral:rRNA from 1 species